GUGAACGCUGGCGGUAGGCCUAACACAUGCAAGUCGAACGGCAGCACAGUAAGAGCUUGCUCUUACGGGUGGCGAGUGGCGGACGGGUGAGGAAUACAUCGGAAUCUACUUUUUCGUGGGGGAUAACGUAGGGAAACUUACGCUAAUACCGCAUACGACCUACGGGUGAAAGCAGGGGAUCUUCGGACCUUGCGCGAUUGAAUGAGCCGAUGUCGGAUUAGCUAGUUGGGGGGGUAAAGGCCCACCAAGGCGACGAUCCGUAGCUGGUCUGAGAGGAUGAUCAGCCACACUGGAACUGAGACACGGUCCAGACUCCUACGGGAGGCAGCAGUGGGGAAUAUUGGACAAUGGGCGCAAGCCUGAUCCAGCCAUACCGCGUGGGUGAAGAAGGCCUUCGGGUUGUAAAGCCCUUUUGUUGGGAAAGAAAAGCAGCAGGUUAAUACCCCGCUGUUCUGACGGUACCCAAAGAAUAAGCACCGGCUAACUUCGUG
rnacentral:rRNA from 1 species